UACGUAGGUGGCGAGCGUUGUCCGGAUUUACUGGGCGUAAAGAGCGCGCAGGCGGUCGUUCAAGUCGCGUGUGAAAGCCCCCGGCUCAACUGGGGAGGGUCACGCGAUACUGAUCGACUCGAAGGCAGGAGAGGGAAGUGGAAUUCCCGGUGUAGUGGUGAAAUGCGUAGAUAUCGGGAGGAACACCAGUGGCGAAGGCGACUUCCUGGCCUGUUCAUGACGCUGAGGCGCGAAAGCUAGGGGAGCAAACGGG
rnacentral:rRNA from 1 species